rnacentral:rRNA from 1 species
UACAGAGGGUGCAAGCGUUGUUCGGAAUUAUUGGGCGUAAAGGGCUCGUAGGCGGUUUGUCGCGUCGGGAGUGAAAAUCCAGGGCUUAACUCUGGACUGGCUUCCGAUACGGGCAGACUAGAGGUAUGCAGGGGAGAACGGAAUUCCUGGUGUAGCGGUGAAAUGCGCAGAUAUCAGGAGGAACACCGGUGGCGAAGGCGGUUCUCUGGGCAUUACCUGACGCUGAGGAGCGAAAGUGUGGGGAGCGAGCAGG